rnacentral:rRNA from 1 species
GUCCAGACUCCUACGGGAGGCAGCAGUGGGGAAUAUUGCACAAUGGGGGAAACCCUGAUGCAGCGACGCCGCGUGAGUGAAGAAGUAUUUCGGUAUGUAAAGCUCUCUCAGCAGGGAAGAAAAUGACGGUACCUGACUAAGAAGCCCCGGCUAACUACGUGCCAGCAGCCGCGGUAAUACGUAGGGGGCAAGCGUUAUCCGGAUUUACUGGGUGUAAAGGGAGCGUAGACGGCAUGGCAAGUCAGAUGUGAAAGCCCGGGGCUCAACCCCGGGACUGCAUUUGAAACUGUCAGGCUGGAGUGCAGGAGAGGUAAGUGGAAUUCCUAGUGUAGCGGUGAAAUGCGUAGAUAUUAGGAGGAACACCAGUGGCGAAGGCGGCUUACUGGACUGUAACUGACGUUGAGGCUCGAAAGCGUGGGGAGCAAACAGGAUUAGAUACCCGCGUAAA